UCUCCUCUGGGCUUGCAGAAGUGAGACCCAAGCCAAAUUAUGAAAUCUUGCAAGGUCUUUGGGUCUUAGCCUUCCCAUGCCCUUCGAUACUUUUCUUCCAGUUGGAAAAUUAUGCAGGCAUAUUACAUAGACACAAAACUUGGAAAAUACAGGAAAAUGGGAAAACAAAGCCCAAUGAAAGCAUCUAGAGGUACUCUACUAAUGUUGUGAGGCCCCAAAAUCACUGCAGAUGGUGACUGUAGCCAUGAAAUUAAAAGAUGCUUGCUCCUUGGGAGAAAAGUUGUGGCCAACCCAGACAGCAUAUUGUAAAGCAGAAACAUUACUUUGCCAACAAAGGUCCGUCUAGUCAAGGCUAUGGUUUUUCUAGUGGUCAAGUAUGGAUGUGAGAGUUGGACCGUAAAGAAGGCUGAGCACUGAAGAAUUGAUGCUUUUGAACUGUGGUGUUGGAGAAGACUCUUUAGAGUCCCUUGACAGCAAGGAGAUCCAACCAGUCCAUCCUAAAGGAGAUCAGUCCUGGGUGUUCAUUGGCAGGACUGAUGCUGAAGCUGAAACUCCAAUACUUUGGCCACCUCAUGCAAAAAACUGAUUCAUUGGAAAAGACCCUGAUGCUGGGAAAGAUUGAGGGCAGGAGGAGAAGGGGACGACAGAGGAUUAGAUGGUGGGAUGGCAUAACUGACUUGAUGGACAUGAGUUUGAGCAAGCUCUGGGAGUUGGUGAUGAACAGGGAGGCAUGGUGUGCUGCAGUCCAUGGGGUUGCAGAGUUGGACAUGACUGAGUGACUGAACUGAAUAAAUAUCACCAACAAAGUCAUGCUGGUAUCAUUCUCAUACUUGUAACAACAGUGUAAGGAGCAAAGAACAAAAAUCCUGUGUGAAACCAUGACCCAUUUGAACCAGGACACCUCUGUUCUUUGGCCACAGGACACAGUCGUGUCAUUUGCUCUUUGUCUUGGUGGCAUCCCCUCCUCUUCCCCACUUACUUCUCCUUCCAGAUGGGCCUCCUGGCUUGCUCCUAGGAACUCCACAACCUUUGGAGAAUAAUGUAGUAAUAUCAAGUCCCACUCCCCAAAUUCAGUUCUAGAUUACUUUUGCUUAUUUAAGAGCCUACAGGGUCUGAGCAGAGACAUUAUUUUGCCAACAAAGGUCCAUCUAGUCAAGGCUAUGGUUUUUCCACUGGUCAUGUAUGGAUGUGAGAGUUGGACUAUAAAGAAAGCUGAGCGCUGAAGAAUUGAUGCUUUUGAACUGUGGUCCUGGAGAAGACUUUUGAGAGUUCCUUGACAGCAAGGAGAUAAAACCAGUCCAUCCUAAAGGCAAUUAACCCUGAAUGUUCCUUGGAAGGACUGAUGCUGAAACUGAAGCUCCAGUACUUUGGCCACCUGAUGCAAAGAGCUGACUCAUUUGAAAAGACCCUGAUGCUGGGAAAGAUUGAAGGUAGGAGGAGAAGGGGACAACUGAGGAUGAGAUGGUUGGAUGGCAUCAUCAACUUGAUGGACAUGGGUUUGGGUCGACUCUGGGAGUUGGUGAUGGACAGGGAGGCCUGGUGAGCUGUGGUUCAUGGGGUUGCAAAGAGUUGGACACGACUGAGUGACUGAACUGAACUGAACAGGGUCUGAGUAACCCUGGGAUGGUGUUUUUGUUCCCAAGAUAAAUUAUACCUCUAAUACAGUCUGCUUUUCUGAGAUAGUCCUCAUGGUUGUAUACAGUACGCUCCUCCUACAUUACACCCAGUGCUCUUCACAUUUGAGGAUGACAUUAGUAUUCAUCAAACCCUGCUUUUUUUUCUUCUUACUUUCAUUCUGGUUUUCUUUGGAGCUGGUUUGCAAUAAAUCCAGUUCUGUUACUAUAUAGCCAUGCUUCACCAUGAACUCCAAACAUAGACCAUGAUUUUGCUGCAUGUGGUUGCCUUAAGUCUCUAGACACCCAAAACACCCAGGAACAA